UGGGAAUUUUCCGCAAUGGGCGAAAGCCUGACGGAGCAAUGCCGCGUGGAGGUGGAAGGCCUACGGGUCGUCAACUUCUUUUCUCGGAGAAGAAACAAUGACGGUAUCUGAGGAAUAAGCAUCGGCUAACUCUGUGCCAA
rnacentral:rRNA from 1 species